CAACUACUCCCUCCGUUCGGAAUUACUUGUUGCAGAAAUGGAUGUAUCUAGACGUAUUUUAGUUCUAGAUACAUCCAUUUCCGAGACAAGUAAUUCCGAAUGGAGGGAGUACUUC
rnacentral:pre_miRNA from 1 species